rnacentral:rRNA from 1 species
UUGACGGAAGGGCACCACCAGGAGUGGAGCCUGCGGCUUAAUUUGACUCAACACGGGGAAACUCACCAGGUCCAGACACAAUAAGGAUUGACAGAUUGAGAGCUCUUUCUUGAUUUUGUGGGUGGUGGUGCAUGGCCGUUCUUAGUUGGUGGAGUGAUUUGUCUGCUUAAUUGCGAUAACGAACGAGACCUUAACCUACUAAAUAGUGCUGCUAGCAUUUGCUGGUAUAGUCACUUCUUAGAGGGACUAUCGAUUUCAAGUCGAUGGAAGUUUGAGGCAAUAACAGGUCUGUGAUGCCCUUAGACGUUCUGGGCCGCACGCGCGCUACACUGACGGAGCCAGCGAGUAUAAGCCUUGGCCGAGAGGUCUGGGAAAUCUUGUGAAACUCCGUCGUGCUGGGGAUAGAGCAUUGUAAUUGUUGCUCUUCAACGAGGAAUUCCUAGUAAGCGCAAGUCAUCAGCUUGCGUUGAUUACGUCCCUGCCCUUUGUACACACCGCCCG